CACUGCGAGCUAAAAAUCUGAUAAUAGCCAAAGUAGUGAGCGCAGCUACACAAUUGACUAUCAAUCGCGUUAUAUGAACGAUGUGGUAACCUAACCGACCUAUAUUCAAUGCUUGCUUAAAACAAUUGACCCACCCCCUUAAAAGGAAUUACAGCUAUAUCGGGCUAUAGAGGAAUAACAUUUCAUUAGCAAAUCAUUAGGGAAAUCUUGGUUCUAUAAACACACAAACGGGAAUGGAGUUUUAGUGAUCCGAGGACGCAAUAUUUACUCAAACAGGCUAAUUGAAUUUGUUUGUUUCGCAGUUCGAAUCAUGAUCAGCAGGAUGAACAUGGGAACCAGCGUAGAUUACGCCUCGACUGGCUAGAGGAAGCGCGUGAUGUUUCAGAAACGAGUGCCCAUGGGCCGAAUCGAAUGACAAAACACAAACCAGUACACAUACCAAUCUGACUUUUUACGACGACGUAUGAUAUAAUAAAACUUGUGCGCACCAUCUAGCUGAAAUUCUAUAGUACAGCCUAUUUGCCUCUCCCGGAAGCAUAGGGCGUAGCUAAACUACACUUGUAACCUUACUCAAGAAGCCCGAGUAACCUUCAUGCUUAUGGCCGAGAUAAAGCCUUAAUUAACCUUUAAUCUUCGUCUCCAGGAUAAUCUGUCGAAAAAAAGUAUGCAUCACAUGUGUAUACUUAUUAUCUAUAUAUUCACAUAUGCCGCCAGAAAAUAGUUAUAAAAAUGUUGCUCAGUUAGUUGUCCUUAAAGGAAAGAACAACCCAACUGCACCCUCUUCACGGCAGAAAUAGCGAGAGAGUCUUUGUAAGAUGCUCUCCGGCUUACCGACUAACGGGCUAAAUAGCUGCUUAGAAACGUACACGUCACUCCAACGAAGCAACAUGGCUUCCGAAGGGAACGGUCCACAGAAACGGCAAGCAGAAUCCUGAUGGCCGACGUCAAACGGGCACUGAUCACUCCGUGUAAUACGCUAAACAUAUUCAUCAACUUCAAGGCAGUGUCCGAUUCGGCGCCAAUCUCACUCUGGCCUAAGCAAAUGUCCCUACGAGUGUGCUCAACCUUCUCGCUGCGACUUCACAAAAGAACAACCUCUUCAAAAAGCGACUCGACACGUCUCUUAGCCGGCUCGCCAUUGCUGUCCGAGGAUCUACAUGGUCGCUUUUAGCUUCCAACUACGGAAGUUUCAAGACAAACAUUGGAAACUGGAAGCAAGAUUCGCGAAUAUCGAUGCCUUUCUUAGCUUCGGAGACGAUCAGGUACAACGAGUGGAACGGGACGAAUUAGCUAAGUAAAUAUGUUGUCACUGGACAUGUGUUCCCACAUAGAUUCUCCACCAACUAGGUUUUCGCGAGCCUAAGGACACGCCUAAAGCACAUGUAAGCACCCCAGAGACGGGGACUGUUGAUACAUAUUAUGCUGCUCGUUGUUUCCUGAUAUCAUCCUUAGGACGUUUGGUGGAUUUCUUAAAUUAGUUCUAUAAACUUCAUAAGACGCACAUGUGACGUAACAUAUUUCAAAUGGUUUUAUAGGCUCUCUUUUAUAUUAAGAUAUUGUCUUUUUUAACACUAUCAACGAAAAUAAAUAAAAAUUGA